GAGAACACCACGGACUGCCUUUAAAUUUCCAAUCUCCAUUCAAAUGUCUCUGUUAAAACUGGUCUUCCAGCUUGCGUUAAUGGAAGGCAAUCGAUUGUCAUUUAACAAGCCAGCAAAUAAAAAAUAUUAUGGGAAUUCAAGGAACAUAGACAGAGAUGUCACAAUUCUGAUCUGGCUGUAGUUGCGUCGCUCUAGCUGCUUUUAUCCUGCACGGCACCAGAGGAAUAGCUUGUGUUUAAUGGAGCUCAUCUGUUGAGAGAGAUGAUAACAUCUGUGAUAACCAAACUCGCUGCUCAGCGAUUAUAAAGACCACAUGUGAAUCUGAUGCACCAAGCCCAAAAACGGUUUGAAAUUGUGUUAAUUUGUGGUGGCAGCAUGCAAACAGGAACUCUCCCCAAGCUCACAUGCUGCAGCGAAGGAUAAGACUGCACAUAUUCCCCCUCCAUUAAACUUGCAAAAUCAAUGCAUGCUAAUAUACAAAUGAUUAAUUAAGAUAUCCACUUAUUAAGGACCGUUCUCUUCAUCGGUGCAGUCUCUAGGUCUUUUGCUGGUGAGGCAUCUCCCUGCUGCUGUUUUAAAGAUUACAUUGAUCCACACUUCAUUUAUGCCAAGAAGCACUGCUGCAGUGAAGCUUUUGCACUGGCGUCCAUCUGAAUCUACUGUAUGCGAGUCGAGGGCUGCAUGCUGACUCUCCAGGAGGGAUAUGCCGGAUCUGCACUGAGUGCAAACGUGAUGACAUGGAAGGGAGUUGGAGCUCCAAGUAUAAAACUCCAGCAGGCGCACAAACCCACGCAGCGCGCGGAGUGAAGGACUGCACCACUGCUGCUCUUUUGCCGAAUCCACCCUUCAUCAUCAUACUCAUUAUUCAGCAUGAGUGAGGUGAGCUUUCCUCAUAUACUAUAACCCUCGGUGCACGAUGCAUCACUCUACUGUAACGAGCUAAUGGGGUUUCCCUAGGAGGAAAUUAUCUUUCAGUGUUGGGGAGACAUACAAUGCUACAUUAAGACAGUGCCUUGAACUUGCAUUGAUUGCAGUCUAAUAUUUCCCCGUCUGCGGAGUUUGCGCACAUGCUUUCUUAACUACAACCGCAAAAAAAAAAAAAAAAAAAAAAAAAUCGUUUUAAAAACUGAAAUGGCAUCCAUUUAUAAGAACAGCAUGCUUUGUACAUCUUAGACGAGCGCGACGGAUUGGGAAUAUUGUUCUGUUGCAUCUGCGCGCGCAGGCAGAUUGUCGAAUCAGCAUUAUCCACGCUUUGAUUAAUGAUGCAACAAAUGACUGCUGUCAGUUAAGAUUUAACACUAACCUGGGAUCACACUGACGUUUGAUGAUAAGCGGCUGAAUAUGCUCUCAUGAUCUUUAAGUCGAAUUAGUCGUAUUUUGAUGCACCAAAUGCUUUUAAUAAUGUUUGCAUAAAAUAAAAUGUAUAAAUAAGUAUUUAGAAUUCGUUGG
ensembl:lncRNA